rnacentral:rRNA from 1 species
GAGUUUGAUCCUGGCUCAGGAUGAACGCUAGCGGCAGGCCUAACACAUGCAAGUCGAACGGUAACAGGAAAUAGCUUGCUAUUUUGCUGACGAGUGGCGCACGGGUGCGUAACGCGUAUACAAUCUACCUUUUGCUGAGGGAUAGCCCAGAGAAAUUUGGAUUAAUACCUCAUGGUAUUAUUGAUAGGCAUCUAUUAAUAAUUAAAGGUUACGGCAAAAGAUGAGUAUGCGUCCCAUUAGCUAGUUGGUGAAGUAACGGUUCACCAAGGCAACGAUGGGUAGGGGUCCUGAGAGGGAGAUCCCCCACACUGGUACUGAGACACGGACCAGACUCCUACGGGAGGCAGCAGUGAGGAAUAUUGGACAAUGGGCGAGAGCCUGAUCCAGCCAUGCCGCGUGCAGGAAGACUGCCCUAUGGGUUGUAAACUGCUUUUAUACAGGAAGAAUAAGCCUUACGUGUAAGGUGAUGACGGUACUGUAAGAAUAAGGACCGGCUAACUCCGUGCCAGCAGCCGAAGGGCGA